rnacentral:pre_miRNA from 1 species
UAUUGGUUACCAUAAAUGGUAGAUACGAAAUUCGUUAAAUGAUUGCGUAUCUGCCAUUAAUGCUAACC